rnacentral:rRNA from 1 species
GACGAACGCUGGCGGCGUGCUUAACACAUGCAAGUCGAACGGAAAGGCCCUGCUUUUGUGGGGUGCUCGAGUGGCGAACGGGUGAGUAACAAGUGAGUAACCUGCCCUUGACUUUGGGAUAACUUCAGGAAACUGGGGCUAAUACCGGAUAGGAGCUCCUGCUGCAUGGUGGGGGUUGGAAAGUUUCGGCGGUUGGGGAUGGACUCGCGGCUUAUCAGCUUGUUGGUGGGGUAGUGGCUUACCAAGGCUUUGACGGGUAGCCGGCCUGAGAGGGUGACCGGCCACAUUGGGACUGAGAUACGGCCCAGACUCCUACGGGAGGCAGCAGUGGGGAAUAUUGCACAAUGGGCGGAAGCCUGAUGCAGCAACGCCGCGUGCAGGAUGACGGCCUUCGGGUUGUAAACCGCUUUCGCCUGUGACGAAGCGUGAGUGACGGUAAUGGGUAAAGAAGCACCGGCUAACUACGUG